AGUUUUAAUAGUUUAAUUAAAAUUUUGGUCUUGUAAACCAAAGAUGAUUACCCAUCUUAAAAC
rnacentral:tRNA from 13 species